AUUUCAUCAAAGGGCUUGGAUGCAGUGCCCUAUUUAGAACGGUGCUGGUGUGAUGAAUGAAGUUUGAUCAGUGCCUUUCUGAGUAGAGUAAGGCUUACCACAUUCUACAUUUAAUAU
rnacentral:precursor_RNA from 14 species